rnacentral:ncRNA from 2 species
UAUAAAAAUAAAGCGCCAGGACUACAUAUCUAAUAGAGUUAUUUUAAUGAUACAUGAAUAACUGAAAGUGUGAUUGUAGUUGACGAGGAGAAGGUUGAUCGAAUUUUCGGCGGAUGCCUUCUAGUGUUCAUCCAUACUAAAAGCUAUUUAACAAAACUGUUAGGAGACUAAUAGUACAAAAAAAUAGCAGGAUGUGGG